rnacentral:rRNA from 1 species
GGUGAGUAACACGUGGAUAACCUACCUAUAAGACUGGGAUAACUUCGGGAAACUGGAGCUAAUACCGGAUAAUAUAUUGAACCGCAUGGUUCAAUAGUGAAAGACGGUUUUGCUGUCACUUAUAGAUGGAUCCGCGCCGCAUUAGCUAGUUGGUAAGGUAACGGCUUACCAAGGCAACGAUGCGUAGCCGACCUGAGAGGGUGAUCGGCCACACUGGAACUGAGACACGGUCCAG